rnacentral:rRNA from 1 species
ACGCGUUAAGCACUCCGCCUGGGGACUACGGUCGCAAGACUAAAACUCAAAGGAAUUGACGGGGACCCGCACAAGCGGUGGAGCAUGUGGUUUAAUUCGAUGCAACGCGAAAAACCUUACCACUCCUUGACAUGGAGAUUAGAUCCUUCUUAACGGAAGGGCGCAGUUCGGCUGGGUCUCGCACAGGUGCUGCAUGGCUGUCGUCAGCUCGUGUCGUGAGAUGUUGGGUUAAGUCCCGCAACGAGCGUAACCCUCAUCCUUAGUUGCCAGCGGAUAAUGCCGGGUACUUUAAGGAAACUGCCGGUGGUAAACCGGAGGAAGGUGGGGAUGAUGUCAAGUCAGCACGGCCCUUAUGGGGUGGGCUACACACGUGCUACAAUGGUGACUACAAUAGGUUGCAACGCCGCAAGGCUGAGCUAAUCCAUAAAAGUCAUCUCAGUUCGGAUUGUCCUCUGUAACUCGAGGGCAUGAAGUCGGAAUCGCUAGUAAUCGUGGAUCAGCAUGCCACGGUGAAUACGUUCUCGGGUCUUGUACACACUGCCCGUCACGCCAUGGGAA